rnacentral:siRNA from 1 species
GAGGUGUCAAGUCGGAUGACUCUU